CAGUUCAGAUUGCAGGCUGCAACCCGCCUGCAUGAAGUCGGAAUUGCUAGUAAUCGCGGAUCAGCAUGCCGCGGUGAAUACGUUCCCGGGCCUUGUACACACCGCCCGUCACACCAUGGGAGCCGGUAAUACCCGAAGUCAGUAGUCCAACCUCGUGAGGACGCUGCCGAAGGUAGGAUUGGCGACUGGGGUGAAGUCGUAACAAGGUAAC
rnacentral:rRNA from 1 species